GAUGAACGCUGGCGGCGUGCCUAACACAUGCAAGUCGAGCGAUUCUCCUCGGAGAAGAGCGGCGGACGGGUGAGUAACGCGUGGGUAACCUGCCCUGUACACACGGAUAACAUACCGAAAGGUAUGCUAAUACGAGAUAAUAUGCUUUUAUCGCAUGGUAGAAGUAUCAAAGCUCCGGCGGUACAGGAUGGACCCGCGUCUGAUUAGCUAGUUGGUAAGGUAACGGCUUACCAAGGCGACGAUCAGUAGCCGACCUGAGAGGGUGAUCGGCCACAUUGGAACUGAGACACGGUCCAAACUCCUACGGGAGGCAGCAGUGGGGAAUAUUGCACAAUGGGCGAAAGCCUGAUGCAGCAACGCCGCGUGAGCGAUGAAGGCCUUCGGGUCGUAAAGCUCUGUCCUCAAGGAAGAUAAUGACGGUACUUGAGGAGGAAGCUCCGGCUAACUACGUGCCAGCCGCCGCAGUAA
rnacentral:rRNA from 1 species